ensembl:lncRNA
GCAGGAAGUACCAUCAAUGGAAUUUGCUUGUGGUUUUGUUUAUGUUCCUCCUGCGCAAAAUGCCUUUAAACAAUCAGCUCUGCCGCCUACACAGAAGUGUGUCCGUCCUCGGGUGCCUCCUCCUCCUCCACCAACAUCCACCAAACAGGUGACCUCUGCCUCCAAGGUCAUUGAGCAGCUCCCAACCAAUGAAGUGAAAAAGGAAAUGGGGACCUCAGUUUUUUAUGAAAACGACACAUUAAGAAGCACGGUCUUACCUGCCAGCACACAGUCUACACAGAAUUCAGCUAAAAAAACAGCUCUUUUGCCCCCACACAUGCGCAUCACUCCGUCUGUUCCUGCUAAGCCUCGCUCUACUUCGUACAGUGAACCAUGGAGACCCAACAGUCAGUAUGAAGUCCCCCCUUGUGGGCCUGAUUUAGACAACCUGCCCUGGGACCCCGAUUACAUAUACCACAUCCCUGAGACCUCAGACAUCUCUGACAGUGUGUACGAGACACAGCCACCAGGCAGAAGAAAC